UACGUAGGGCGCAAGCGUUGUCCGGAAUUAUUGGGCGUAAAGAGCUCGUAGGUGGCGUGUCGCGUCUGCCGUGAAAGCCCAUGGCUUAACUGUGGGUCUGCGGUGGAUACGGGCAGGCUGGAGGCUGGUAGGGGCAAGCGGAAUUCCUGGUGUAGCGGUGAAAUGCGCAGAUAUCAGGAAGAACACCUAUGGCGAAGGCAGCUCUCUGGGACGGUACUGACGCUGAGACGCGAAAGCGUGGGGAGCAAACAGG
rnacentral:rRNA from 1 species